rnacentral:misc_RNA from 1 species
UAUUUUGUCUCGUAUUUAGCAAGUGGUUUAUUCAAGUAUUAAUGUAUUAUAUGUGUUUACAUAUAGAUAUAACAUUGGUAUUUUCUUUCUCGCGAGAGAUUUUUUUUUAAAGAUAAUUUUAAUUAAUCUUGAAAUAGUGAAAGAAGAUUAUUUUCAAUCGUAGUGCUAGUGUUAGUAGAAAUAAUUAAAUAAUAUUAGCAAUUAUGGCAAAAUACAUAAAUGCAUCAGAUGGAUUUAGCCUUAGAGAUUUGACAUUAAAAGAUGGGCUUGUAUUUGAAAUCACAAAUGAUUAUGAAAAUUUUGAUGAAGAAGAAUUUGGUUAUUCUGAAGAUUUGCCAUUAACUAAUGAAGAGGCAUUAAAUCUUUUAAAUAUGAAUGAUUUUGAAGAUGAAGAUGAUUGUAAUGAUGCUAAUGUAAACAAGCAAAUUACAGUUUGUGGUAUUAGUUUUGAGCAAUUAAAAAGUAAUAUGACUGAUAUUUUUGGAAAUGGAAAGAUUAUGAAAUUAAUAAAACAAAAAGGUGUUGGGUCUACUGUGCCAUAUGAUGCACAAAUUACUAUCAAAUAUAUAGGACAUUUUGAAUAUAGGGAUGAACCAUUUGAUUCUAGUUUUGCUCGUGGUGGUGCAGAAACUUUUCGUCUUAAUCAAGGCAUGUUAAUACCAGGUUUAGAGAUUGGUAUAACAACAAUGCAAAAGCAUGAAAUAGCUAUGUUCAUUAUACAUCCAGAUUUAGCAUAUGGAAAAUAUGGUUGUGCUCCUCGUAUUCCUCCUAAUGAAGAAAUUCUAUUUAUUGUACAUUUGACUGAUUAUAUAGAUAAUGGAUCUAUUGAUAAUAUUAAAUGUUUAUCUUCAGAAGAAAGAAAACAACUUCCAAAUAUUGUUAAAAGUGUAAAUGCUAAAUUUAACACUGCCAAAGACUGUUUUAGUAAACAGAAAGUGAAACAGGCUAUAAGAGAAUAUUCAAAAGGACUUCAAUGGUUGGAAGAAGUAGAAUUGAAAGAUCAAGAUGAGGAAGAUGAAUCAUGGACGGGCAUUAUUGAAAAUGGGAGAAUUUUCUAAAGCAAUGGAAAAAUUGCAAUUUGCUCUAAAAAUGGAACCAAAAAAUAUGGAAAUUAUUAAAGAAAUUAGAAUUGCAAAUGAAAAACAAGAAAAUACAUGGAAAUAGAAAAACGUCUUUGGAAAAAUUGUUUAAAAAUUGAAGAGAAAGAGAAGAAACAAUUUUCUUCUUUCGAAAAAGCUGCAUAUGAAAUGUGUAAAGCUUUUUCUGAAGAUAAUCAAAUCUUAAGACAACCGCUCCCUGAAUGUUUAACACCUGAAGAAGAUAAAUAUAUACGCGAACAAGCUGCAUCUUUCGGUCUUACUGUAACUACACAUCAAAGAUAUGGAAGAGAGAUAACAUAUCUUAACAAACCUAAUUAUUAGAAUCUAAAUAUCAUUUCAAUUAAAACAUAUUAUAUAAAUAUGAAAUAACAAAUAUAUUUUUAUACU